rnacentral:sRNA from 1 species
AGAGCCGGAGCCGUGGCCUGCCGGGCCGGCGACAUGGAGCCCCUGUACCAGCAAACGCACAAGCAGGUCCACGAGAUCCAGUCUUGCAUGGGACGCCUGGAGACGGCAGACAAGCAGUCUGUGCACAUAGUAGAAAACGAAAUCCAAGCAAGCAUCGACCAGAUAUUCAGCCGUCUAGAACGUCUGGAGAUUUUGUCCAGCAAGGAGCCCCCUAACAAAAGGCAAAAUGCCAAACUUCGGGUUGACCAGUUAAAGUAUGAUGUCCAGCACCUGCAGACUGCGCUCAGAAACUUCCAGCAUCGGCGCCAUGCAAGGGAGCAGCAGGAGAGACAGCGAGAAGAGCUUCUGUCUCGAACCUUCACCACUAACGGGACUCAGAAGAAGAUCCUUGACAUUGCCAACAUGCUGGGCUUGUCCAACACAGUGAUGCGGCUCAUCGAGAAGCGGGCUUUCCAGGACAAGUACUUUAUGAUAGAGACAAGGUCUCACCAUGUUGCCCAGAAUGGACUCGAACUCCUGAGCUCAAGAGAUCCUCCUGCAUCAGCCUCCUGAAGUGCUGGGAUUAUAG